rnacentral:rRNA from 1 species
GACGAACGCUGGCGGCGUGCCUAACACAUGCAAGUCGAACGGGGAGUUAGCAAUAACUCCUAGUGGCGAACGGGUGAGUAACGCGUAGACAACCUGCCUCUAAAUUGGGGACAACACCGCGAAAGUGGUGCUAAUACCGAAUGUGGUAUCUUGAUCGCAUGAUUAAGAUAAGAAAGAUGGCCUCUACAUGUAAGCUAUCGAUUAGAGAUGGGUCUGCGUCUGAUUAGCUAGUUGGUGAGGUAACGGCUCACCAAGGCGACGAUCAGUGGCCGGUCUGAGAGGAUGAACGGCCACACUGGGACUGAGACACGGCCCAGACUCCUACGGGAGGCAGCAGUGGGGAAUCUUCCGCAAUGGACGAAAGUCUGACGGAGCAACGCCGCGUGAGUGAAGAAGGUCUUCGGAUUGUAAAGCUCUGUCGUUUGGGACGAACGUAUCCUGUGUGAAUAAUGCGGGGUAAUGACGGUACCAAAGGAGGAAGCCACGGCUAACUACGUGCCAGCCGCCGCGGUAAAAC